UGAGAAGACAGGGUUACGGAAACAACUGAUGAACACAGCUUUAGAUCAGCUCAUGAAGAGUCAAACAUUUAGAAGUUUAAAAGAGAAACUAGAGUUUCUCUACAAGUGGAAAAAAGACCCAGAAUCUGAAGUGUCUCUGCUUAGGAGCAUAGUUUCAUCGUUCAAGAAUUCUUAAUAAUUAUAGUUUCAUCGUUCAAGAAUACUUAAUAAUUAAAGUUUCAUCGUUCAAGAAUACUUAAUAAUUAUAGUUUCAUCGUUCAAGAAUACUUAAUGAUUAAAGUUUCAUCGUUCAAGAAUACUUAAUAAAUAUAGUUUCAUCAUUCAAGAAUACUUAAUAAUUAUAGUUUCAUUGUUCAAGAAUAAUUUGAACAUUAUUAAUUUUCAGAGAGAAAAACAAAAAUAACACAAUAAUUUUUUAUUGGACAACGGUUUAAAGUGCCCAGUUUUAAAUUAAAACCCCCUUUUAAUAAAGGCUCACAAUGUAAAUUACGUUUAUGCAAUCACUUUAAAAAUACGUGUAACUGAAGAAAGACAUAUCACUUUAUAUAAUAUUUUUUUAAUAGAAUUGUACACGGUUUUUUGCUUCAAAGUUCAAUGCACAAGAAAAUGCACUGUGAAAAAACGGCCUUUAACAAUUAUUUUUUGGUUAUUAACCCUUUUACAUAUUUAUAGUGUUGCUUCUAAAAAUCAAGGAAUUAAAAGAUUAAUCACCAAGAAUGUUCGGCGAAUUUUCUUCCAUUUUCGAAUGCAACAAAAAUAAGCUAAGAAAGUUUGUAAGUUGUUUUUAACCUUUAUAAGUCAAUGUUUGUAGACUGUUUAAUGUUGAUGUGAUAUUAUGUUGCGCUUGUGGUUUUAUCACUGACGGUUUAGCUAGUUUUGUGAUCCUUGUAAUUAAUAACUUAUAUAACUUAAUAACAUCCUAGUGUUACUUUUUCUUGUAAAAUACUUUUAAACCUUUCGACUUGUAUACUUAACUGUACAAUGCAAAUAAAUAUGGCAUAAACGUGAA